AUUGAACGCUGGCGGCAUGCCUUACACAUGCAAGUCGAACGGCAGCACGGGGGCAACCCUGGUGGCGAGUGGCGAACGGGUGAGUAAUGCAUCGGAACGUGCCCAGUAGUGGGGGAUAACCAGUCGAAAGACUGGCUAAUACCGCAUACGACCCAAGGGUGAAAGCGGGGGACCGUAAGGCCUCGCGCUAUUGGAGCGGCCGAUGUCUGAUUAGCUAGUUGGCGGGGUAAGAGCCCACCAAGGCGACGAUCAGUAGCUGGUCUGAGAGGACGACCAGCCACACUGGGACUGAGACACGGCCCAGACUCCUACGGGAGGCAGCAGUGGGGAAUUUUGGACAAUGGGCGCAAGCCUGAUCCAGCCAUGCCGCGUGCGGGAAGAAGGCCUUCGGGUUGUAAACCGCAUUAGGCAGGAACGAAACGGCGCAAGAAAAUACCUUGCGCUAAUGACGGUACCUGCAGAAUAAGCACCGGCUAACUACGUGCCAGCAGCCGCGGUAACAC
rnacentral:rRNA from 1 species